GUGUUGGGCCGGCUGGGCUGGGUGCGCGCGGGGGCGAGGAUGGGCCGGUUCGGCCCAAGACGGCUGGGCCGGUCCGUUUUUUUUUUCUCCUUUAACCUUUUUUCUUUUUCUUUUUCUGUAAAUCUUUUCUAACUUUUGAUUUUGAACUCCAAAUUGGUCCAAAUAAAUUCCAGAAAAUUUGUAAAAUCAUGUUUUACCUUGAUACAACUUUUGGGAGUAAUUUCCCCGCAAAAUAAAAUAUCUAAAAAUACAUUUGCCCUAUUAAUGCCUUUAGGGCUAUAUACCUAUUUAAAUAAAAUAGUUUUUCAACUCCAAAUAAUUAUCCAAAAAUUAUGGGAUUGCUUAUUUAUGCAAUAAACCCCUUUUAUAAAUGAAUCUUAAUGGUUUGAAGAUCCAAAGCUCAAAUGGGUGCAAACCCUUGAAAAAAAACUUUUAACGCCUUUUGAGAUUCAAAUUUGAAUUCAAAUAUGCAAUUGUGGCAUGAUACUCAUGGAUGCAAUGCACAUGUAAAAGUUUCAAAUUUUUGGGAUGUUACAUGUCAUCACUGUUCUGCGGGUCCCGCCUGCAUGCCCGAGCGCGGGUUGCUGGGGUGCACCUUCCCGGCUAGCGCACUGGCUAGUUGACGGGAAGCGUUCCUUCGGCUUCCUGGGACCGGGGUUCCUGGGAGCGUCUCAUAUUCGGCCCUUAGCUUUAGCUUCACUAGGGGUCGUCUCCUUGAGGCAGGUUCUCGAGCUCGUCGCUUCUCAGGAGUCCUUCCUGAUGGGGCUUCGUCACUGGCGACCCACAUAUCCUGUAUCAGUGGGACCCCGUGGGCCGCUGGUACGACAGGAGCUCCCGGGCGUGGGCUGGU
rnacentral:lncRNA from 1 species